ACGUGACCGGCGGUUGGUUGACUGGCCUUUUUGCCACACCCGUUUCCUCUACGCCUUGCAAGUUGGAGUAGCUGGGAAAGAUGGAAGAAAGGAAGGGUUCGUUGGGGAGGCGCUCUCCGCAGACCAGACAGAAUAUAUUCUGCUUAACAACUUCAGCCAGUGAACCUGAAAUUAUGAGCUCCUAAAACCCUUGGAAUUUCCUGAGAUGAAAGCCAUACAGGUGUCUUUUGUUAUGUUAAUGAAUGACUUUGGGACCACACCUAAGGAUGUUUGCCAGUGGAGCCAAGCGUGUGAUUAGAGGGUUGGAACUUGCAAUCCCACCCCCUGACCUCCAGGGAGGGGAGACGGGCUGGAGAAGAGUUCAGUCACCAAUGGCCAGUGAUUUAAUCAAUCCUGUCUAUGUAAUGAAGCCUCCAUAAAAUUCCCAAAGGAAUGGGGUUUGGAAAGCUUCCAGGUUGAGGAAACAGAACCGUCCAUGUGCCACCAUGACAGGCCCUAAAUUCUAUGAGGAUAGAAGCUCUUUUGUUCAGGACCUUGCCCUAUGUGUCUCUUCAUCUGGCUGAAGUUAUACCCUUUUAUAAGAAACCAGUGAUCUAGUAAGUAAAAUGUUAUUCUGAGUUCUGUGAGAAGCUCUAGCAAAUUAGUCGAACCCAAGGAGGGGGACAUUAGAACCUCCAACAUGUAGCCAGUGGGUCAGAAGCACAGGUAACAACCUGGGCUUGUGAUUGACAUCUGGAGUGGAGGGCAGCCUUGUGGGACUGAGCCCUUAAGCUGUGGAAUCUGAUGCUGUCUCUAGGUAGCUAGUGUCAGAAUGGAGUUGAAUUGGAGGACACCCAGCUGGUGUCGGAGACUUGCUGGUUGGUGUGGGGAAACUCCCCACAACACAUUGGAAAUGGGUGCAAAACUCUUACCAACUAUCUUACCUCUAGAGAUGCCAUCUCCAUAACUCUUUGCCCAUUAGGUUCCCCUGGAUUCCAUUCUGACCUUGCUGUUCAUUAUGAUAAUUGCACCAUCUGGCUUUUGAUGGCUGAGCACUGCUACCUGGCCUCUUAAGGCCUCUUAGGAGGCCUUCAAGCCAAAGGAAAGCAUUAGUUCUUAAGGAGUGGGCCUUUACUAUAGGUUCAGAGAGUUCAAGACUGUCUGGGGAUUUAAGACCUGAAAGUAUCAACCCAGAUGUCCUCAUCUCUCAGGGUCCUACUUUUUCCCAAUCAGGGCCCUAACUUUGCAUAACAGACUUGGCUAGGUUGACAAUUUAACAUUCUUGAACUCUGCUAUUUUUUUUUUAACUUUAUUUAUUUAUUUUUUCCCCCAAAGCCCCAGUAGAUAGUUGUAUGUCAUAGCUGCACGUCCUUCUAGUUGCUGUAUGUGGGACACGGCCUCAGCAUGGCCGGAGAAGCGGUGCGUCGGUGCGCGCCCGGGAUCCGAACCCGGGGCCGCCAGUAGCGGAGCACACGUACUUAACCACUAAGCCACGGGCCAGCCCCUGAACUCUGCUACUCUUAGGAUUGCAUCCUGGGCCUGGGCCUCAGCUUUUUCCACCCUUCCACUACAGAAGAGACUUUCUUAGCAUGCUACCAAAGAGGCCCAUUGGUUUUCACAUUUACCUUUUAAUUAAUCAUCCUCGGCCUUUCACUGUCUCUUUUAAAACCAUUAAUUGCCUCCAGCAGUAGCCAUCCAAUAUCAUUGUCUUUAUAAUUACUACUUCUCCAUAUUUCUCAAAUGCCUGAUACAUUGCACCCUGGUGUACUUUCUUCCUCUGCACACCAUCUCAGUUUGUCAUCAAUGUAAGUUUUAACAACUGCAAUGCUAUCCUGUGCCUGUGCUGCAUCUACUGCCAGGGAUGGGGUCCUCUUUGCCAGCCAGGAAGCAGGUGAUCUAGCUCGCAAAUCGCAUUUUAGCGUCUGAUUUCUACCUGUCCUGGCUCCAACUGUCCCAAGUUGGGUUCUCCAUGGAGCAAACUCUGAGAUGAAAACUAGCAUGCAGAAAGUUUCUAAGGGAGCACUCUCAGGAUAGUCACCUGUGAGGGGAAAGGAAGGAAGCAAAACUAUGUAAAGAAAGACAUUGAGCUGCAUAGCAGUGCCAACAAAGCCUCAGUUGACCCCUCCAGGAGCUCUGAAUCUGUGAUGGCCCUUCUGAGUUGCUCCAAGUUCAGGGAGGGGCCUAGCAUUCAUACACCCACAUCAACCAGUCGCUGGGUGCAGGCUGCCCUGAGAAAGAGGUAUGAGCUUGGACAAGGUGGCUCUCUUCAGCAGAGAUUAAUUUGAGUAAGUCCUCAAUUGUGAAGAGGGGAUCUAGACAAUACAGAACAGGAUCCAUGACAACGAUGCUGACAAGCUUUUCAGAACCAAGAGGAAGAGAGAUGGGAACAGCCUUCGAGAAGAAGUGCUUGGAUGAGAAUAACCCUCUGGCUGCAGCAUGAUUGCUUUCUUUAUCUGCUGGUUAAUAGGAUUUGAUUCUAGUUAGAAA